AGUAGUUCAAUUGGUAGAGCAUCGGUCUCCAAAACCGAGUGUUGAGGGUUCAAGUCCUUCCUG
rnacentral:tRNA from 1 species